rnacentral:lncRNA from 1 species
GGGAGCUGUCAGCCUCCCUCUGUUCUUCGGGCUUGGCGUACUCCUUUCAUAAUGGACAGACACCAGUGGCCUUCAAAAGGUCGGGGGUAGGGGAACGGAGGAAGUGGCCUUGGGUGCAGAGGAAGAGCAGAGCUCCUGCCAACGCUGAACGCAGUUAGCCCUGCGCAAGUGCGCGCUAGCUCAGCAUAUGCGCUCCAGAGCCGGCAGGACCGCCCGACCCUGCUCACCCCGAGGAGAAAUCCAAGAGCGCAGCCACCUGCACCUCCAUGCCCCAAAGACCGUCCAAGCUGGAGCAACCAGCCCUCCAUUCCUCUUCGAUUCUUCAACCCCAAGGUAAGAAUUCUCAAUGAACCUGAUUUCCAAAGGUAUAACAUUUUGAAGUCAUUUCUCUUAUUUACAUAUGCUCUAGAAAAUUCAGAAGUUCCACACUUCUAAAUAUAUCUGGAAAUAUUGCUAAUUUGAAAUCGACAUAUUACAUGGAAUUAUUUCCACUUCAUAGUUCUAGAAACAAACAAAAAAAUGUACAAAAUAAGGCCAGGCGCGGUGGCUCAUGCCUGUAAUCCCAGCACUUUGGGAGGCCGAGGUGAGUGGAUCACAAGGUCAGGAGUUCGAGACCAGCCUGGCCAAUAUGGUGAAACUCUGAAACCCUGUCUCUACUAAAAGUACAAAAAUUAGCCAGGCCUAGUGGCAGGUGCCUGUAGUCCCAGCUACUUGGGAGGCUGGGCAGGAGAAUCACUUGAACCUGGGAGGCAGAGGUAGCAGUGAGCCAAGAUCGUGCCACUGCACUCUAGCCUGGGCGACAGAUUGAGACUGUGUCUCAAAAAAAAAAAAGGUACAAAAUAGAGUUGGGCAAGGUGGCUAAUGCCUGUAAUCCUAGCACUCUGAAAGGCUGAGGAAAGAGGAUUGCUUGAGCCUAGGAGUUUAGGACUAUGAUUGCAGUGACCUAUGAUUGUGCCACUGCACUCCAGCUUGGGUGACAGAGCAAUACCUUGUCUCCAAAUAAAGCAUUUUUAAAUGUUCAAAACAAUCUCUAAGAAAUAAAAAAUUGGCCGGCACGGUGGCUAAUGCCUGUAAUCCUGGCACUCUGGGAGGCUGAGGUGGGCAGAUCACUUGAGGGCAGGAGUUUGGGACCAGCCUGAGCAACAUGGUGAAACCCUGUCUCUACUAAAAAUACAAAAAUUAGUCAGGCAUGGUGGCGAGCACCUGUAGUCCCUGCUAGUAGGGAGGCUGAGGCAGGAGAGUCGCUUGAACCCAGAGUGGUUGCAGUGAGCCGAGAUCGUACCACUGCACUCCAGCCUGGGCAACAAGAGCAGCACUCCAUCUCAAAAAAUAAUAAAUAAAUAAAUAAAUAAAUAAAUAAAUAGAAAAUAUUAUAUAACUGAAUUUAUUGCAAUCAAUGAAUGCGUGGUUUAUUUUUAUUUAAUAUUAAAAGACUAUGUUUCUAGGCCCUAAGGACAGGAGAGUGGAUAAUUUCUCCUGUGGAUGAUUGGACCUUUCCACAGAAACACAAACAGAUUGUAUAAAGCACAAGCCAUUGUUCAUGCUACCCUUUGUACUCCAGUCCAGUGGAGGAAACAAGGAACAAUCCCUGGCCAAAUGCACAAAUUGAAAGUGCUGUUUCUCACUACCUUGGGCAGGCUUUAGCUUCCGGUUUUGUGUUCCCUAUUUACUGCCCUUCUGAACUAGGGCAAAUAACUUGAUCCAUUUGAGCUUGUCUACUCCCCUGUGAAUUAGGGAUAAUCCCAUCUCAUGUGACUACUGUGAGAGUUAAGUAAGAUAAGGUAUGUGAAGAGCACAUACUUGGGUGUGUGGAAAGCUUUAUUUUUAUUUAUUAGGUACAAGGUCUUACUCUGUUGCCCAGGCUUGAGUGCAGUGGUGUGGUCCUACGAUCUUAUGGUAGCCUCAAACUCCUGGGCUCAAAGCAAUCUUCUCACCUCAGCCCCACAUGUAACUGAGACCACAGGCACAUGCCACCAAGCCCAGCUAAUUAAAAAAAAAUUUUUUUUUUGGACAUGGGCAUCUUGCUAAGUUACCCAGGCUAGUCUCAAACUCCUGGGCUUGAGCAAUUCCCUUGCCUUGGCCUCCUGUGGCUGGGAUUGCAGGUGAGAGCCACGUCACCUGGCUGUGUGCCACCUCACCUGGCUGAGUGGAGCCCUUUAGAAGGAUGUGGUUUUUCCAGAAGCUGAGGCCUUUCUUGCCCUACUAAAUCACAGACAGCUCUUUGCUCAGUGGACCUCAGGGGAGGCAACAACUGCCACACCAAUUAGAUGUAUGCCCUUUUCCCUGGAGCCCUGGAGUCCUCCCUCAGAUGGGGACAACUAGGUCUUGUCCUGGCUCUUCACAAGAGAAUGUCUGGACUGCAAAGUAACAUUGAAGCUGACCAGGCAUAAGCAAAAAUAAACCACCACCUGUAUAAAACACAGAGGCAAAAGCCGGCUGCACUGACUGAAGUUACACGUCAAACAGCAUUGAUACCCACAUGCAAUUAGCUUUACUUGUAAGGCACAAGCAUUUCAGCCAAUUUAAGGAUAGUCUGAUGACCAAAGAUAGAAAGCCUCUUGACAAAGUAGAAUAUUUUAGGGAUCUCUAGCCCCCGGCCCCAAAGAAUAGGAGAUUGUUCCAAGACCUUCUUAAUAAAUCAUCUCCUUAGAUGUUACUAUAUUGAUGAGUGUUAACAUAUAUAUAUAUAUAAUAUAUAUUUUAUAUAUUUUAUAUAAUAUGUUGUAUAUUUUCAAACAGUAGGUUGCAACUGAUUAGUCAAUAAAGUCAGUUUAGCCAAGCGCAGUGGUUCACGCCUAUCAUCCCAGCACGUUGGGAGGCCGAGGCACUUAAGGUCAGGAGUUCGAGACCAGCCAGGCCAACAUGGUGAAACCCCGGCUCUACAAAAAAUACAAAAAAAAAUUACCUGGGCAUAGUGGCACAUACCUGUAAUCCCAGACACUCGGGAGGCUGAGACAGGAGUUUUGCUUGAAACCAGAAAGUGAAGGUUGCAGUGAGCUGAGAUCACUCCAGCCUGGGCAACACAGGGAGACCCCAUCUCACAAAAAAAAAAAAAAAAAAAAAAGUCAAUUUAGUGGGUUGUUACCAGAUUUUUAUUUUUAUAUAUAUAAUGUAUAUAUGGAAUCCAAGCUGCUUUGACUUUCUAUUCUGCCAUCCCUAAGUGUUGUGGACCUCCCUAGUCCCUUAGAGCACUCCAGCCAAUACACUUACUUUCUCAGCUGCAGAGGAGAAGAGACAAAUCAGAAGGAUAUGCAUCUAUGGUAGACAGAAUAAUGGCCCCUGAAAAAUUGAAAGGUGUCCACAUUGCAAUUCCUGAAACCUGUGUCUGUGUUCCCUUACAGGGCAAAAGGGAUUUUUGCAGAUGUAAUUAGAUUAGAUACUUAAAAUAAAGAGCUUAUUCUAGAUUAUCCUUGUAGGCCCUUCCUCUAAGUCAGUGUUUUUCAAACAGUAGGUUGCAACUAGAUUAGUCAAUGAAGUCAACUUAGCGGGUUAUUACCAGAUUUUUUUAAAUUAGAUAAAACAUAGUAGAGAAUAUCAGAGUGCAUUAUACAUAGUGAGGAUAAACAUUGCUUCA